rnacentral:rRNA from 1 species
UACGUAGGGGGCAAGCGUUGUCCGGAAUCAUUGGGCGUAAAGAGCGUGUAGGCGGCCCGGUAAGUCCGCUGUGAAAGUCCAGGGCUCAACCCUGGGAUGCCGGUGGAUACUGUCGGGCUCGAGUCCGGAAGAGGAGUGUGGAAUUCCGUGGUGUAGCGGUGAAAUGCGCAGAUAUCAGGAGGAACACCAAUGGCGAAGGCAGCACUCUGGGUCAAGAUUGACGCUCAGUGCACGAAAGCGUGGGAGCAAACAGG